rnacentral:rRNA from 1 species
UAAACUAGGAUUAGAUACCCUAUUAUUUUAAAUGUAAAAAUUUAUAAAUACUAAAUUAGUAUUAGUUAUGUUCUUGAAAAUUAAAAAAUUUGGCGGUAUUUUAGUCUUUUCAGAGGAAUCUGUCCUGUAAUUGAUAGUCCACGAUUAAAAUUACUUUAUUUAUUAGUUUACAUAUCGUCGUAGUUUGAAUAUUUUAAAAGAAAAUAAAUAUUCAGAAUUUUAAAUUAAAAAAUAAAUCAGAUCAAGGUGUAGUUUAUAAUAAAGAAGAGAUGGAUUACAAUAAAUUUAUUUUAGGAAAAUUUAUUAAAAAUAAAUUUGAAUUUGGAUUUGAAAGUAAUUUUAAAUAUUUUUUUGAGAUGAUUAUAGCUCUAAAAUAUGUACACAUCGCCCGUCGCUCUUAA